UCUGAAUAUGGGUUUACUAGUUGGUGGUGAAUUGAUAGUCGCCAACUAUUAGGCCUUUAUGUCCAGA
rnacentral:miRNA from 1 species